AGAGUUUUGAUCAUGGCUCAGGAUGAACGCUAGCUACAGGCUUAACACAUGCAAGUCGAGGGGCAGCGAGGAGUUAGCUUGCUAACUCUGUCGGCGACCGGCGCACGGGUGAGUAACGAGUAUCCAACCUGCCCCGUGCUCCGGGACAGCCCCGCGAAAGCGGGAUUAAUACCGGAUGGUGCGUAUGUCCCGCAUGGGACAUACGUCAAAGAUUCAUCGGCACGGGAUGGGGAUGCGUCCGAUUAGCUGGUUGGCGGGGUAACGGCCCACCAAGGCGAUGAUCGGUAGGGGUUCUGAGAGGAAGGUCCCCCACAUUGGAACUGAGACACGGUCCAAACUCC
rnacentral:rRNA from 1 species